rnacentral:sRNA from 1 species
GAUUCAAGGGCAUAGCCGUCGGAAUUGUGAUUUCGUGCGUGUUUUAUUUACCAGGCUUUCAAAUCAAAAAGGCCAGGCAAACACACGUUCUGGGGCGUUCAAGGAAGUUCACACGAAGGACAAAUCCAGCAGGGAGAUAGUGACAUACCUUGCGGGCUCAGGCUUGGGAUUUCUGCAGCCACACGCGCGUUCACCCGACGGGGCCUCGCCUGCACAGCCGCCGGGAGGAGCCUGCUCUAGACUCCGGCUCCAGGGGAGAGGACUGGGCUCCACAGAGAGGAGCAGCCUCUUCUUCCAGACCAGCUGGUCUUGCUUCUGGAGCAUCUCUUGGAGCAGAAGACUCUGAGCCCCCGAACUCUGCAAAGCCUCCAGAGGACAUACCACCUCCAGGAUCAGGAUGCAGAGGUUCGCCAUCGGUGGUGUGAACUCAUUGUUAAACACAAGUUCACGAAAGCCUACAAAAGUGUGGAGAGGUUCCUUCAGGAGGAUCAGGCCAUGGGUGUGUACCUCUAUGGGGAGCUGAUGGUGAGUGAGGACGCCAGACAGCAGCAGCUCGCCCGCAGGUGCUUCGAGUGGACCAAGGAGCAGAUGGAUAGGUCCUCAGCCCAGGUGGUGGCCGAAAUGUUAUUUUAACGAGGUGAUUCUC